AGGGGCCUGGGCACACGCCAUGCUCAUUUACAUUUUCAGGCUAAUUAAAAGAACCAUGCCUGCUUUGUGGCGUGCAAAGCCCUGGAACAGCUCCAGGGCCCCCAGUCACAGGCUGCAGGCCUGGGCUGGGGCACAAAGCAAGCACAGGCUGGCCAGGGACUAAAGGACUCUGUAAGAUCAGAGCGUGGCUGAUGCCUGCAGCAGAACACAGACCCUGCAAACAACUAUCUUCCUUCCCUGCCUCCGAGAAAGAUUCAUUCAUAUUGUUGUGGCUGAGAGGCUCUUCCUACCUGUCUCUUCUCUCCCUGCCUGCUGUGUGCCUUGAAUAUUGAUGGAGAUCUGUCUCUUCCUGCCGAAAGAAGCCCAGAACCGGCUUACACGAGGAGGAUCUGCAAAUGCACCAGGCGAGGUCAGGAGGCGUGCAAGUAUCUUCUGCCCUAAGCAGAACAAUUAUUCUUGUUUGGUGAAGACUAGAAGUGAUGCUUGUUUCCUAGAAAAAGGAGCUAUUCUGCUGUCCCCAAGCCGGACCAAGCCUGCAGUAAGGCUCACUGCAGGGAGCACGUGGCCAGCGGCUCCGACUUCGGCAGACCUUCGCGUGUAG
rnacentral:lncRNA from 1 species